rnacentral:rRNA from 1 species
GAUGAACGCUGGCGGCGUGCCUAAUACAUGCAAGUCGAGCGAACGGACGAGAAGCUUGCUUCUCUGAUGUUAGCGGCGGACGGGUGAGUAACACGUGUAUAACCUACCUAUAAUACUGGGAUAACUUCGGAAAACGGGAGCUAAUACCGUAUGAUAUUUUGAACCGCAUGGUUCAAAAGUGAAAGACGGUCUUGCUGUCACUUAUAGAUGGAUCCCCGCUGCUUUAGCUAGUUGGUACGGUAACGGGUUACCAAGGCAACGAUGCCUAGCCGACCUGAGAGGGUGAUCGGCCACACUGGAACUGAGACACGGUCCAUACUACUACGGGAGGCAGCAGUAGGGAAUCUUCCGCAGUGGGCGAAAGCAUGACGCAGCAACGCCGCGUGAGUGAUGAAGGUCUUCGGAUCGUAAAACUCUGUUAUUAGGGAAGAACAUAUGUGUAAGUAACUGUGCACAUCGUGACGGUACCUAAUCAGAAAGCCACGGCUAACUACGUG